AUUAAGAAGAGAAGGAAGGUUGCUACUUUGUUCACAUGUGUAGCUAAGUUCGCCUGCAAAUCGUAUACAAGAUAUGACAACAAGGUGACACAUGCACGUUAGAAGUCAUGAGAGGCUGAGUCAGGCACACCUUGGGAAAGUCCCAGCACAGCGUCAUCGGGCAAGAGGAUUAGAUAUUAGAUCAGGUUUCAGACGCAGCACG